rnacentral:rRNA from 1 species
UACGGGGGGUGCGAGCGUUGUCCGGAAUCACUGGGCGUAAAGGGCGCGUAGGCGGCUUGAUAAGUAGGGGGUGAAAUCUUGCGGCUCAACUGCAAGGCUGCCUCCUAAACUGUCAGGCUUGAGCACAGUAGAGGCAGGUGGAAUUCCCGGUGUAGCGGUGGAAUGCGUAGAGAUCGGGAAGAACAUCGGUGGCGAAGGCGGCCUGCUGGGCUGUUGCUGACGCUGAGGCGCGACAGCGUGGGGAGCAAACAGG